rnacentral:lncRNA from 1 species
UUCGUCUGUGACUCUCUUUUUUUAUUUUCUUUUCUUUUUUUUGACCCAUUUCAACCCUUCCCUGUCAUUUCUCUUUCUCCACUUUCCUUACCUAAGCCUUUCUCCUCCCUCUUCACCCACCUUGGUUGCCCCUCUCUCAGAUCUGCUUCGAAGACGGCUGUAAGGACUGAGAUUUUUUCAGUGCUACUAAACUCUCUGUUGAUGAUGUUUAUGUGUGUAAUUUAACUAUAUAAGCACUCGUCAAGUUUCAGGAGAAAAUGAGCUAAAACGGAGAAGGUACGCGAUUAUUAGUUUUCACUUAAGUGAAUAGUAACUCCGGUUUUUCGGUGAAGCCACGGAGUAGAGUUGGCUAUCUACGCGUAUCGGACUCUAUUCAUAGCGAUCCAAUAGCUCGUUUCGACCGGUUCAGCUAUUCUGGAACUACUGGCGCUGACAGAUUU